UACGUAGGGGGCAAGCGUUGUCCGGAAUCAUUGGGCGUAAAGCGCGUGUAGGCGGCCCGGUAAGUCCGCUGUGAAAGUCGGGGGCUCAACCCUCGAAUGCCGGUGGAUACUGCCGGGCUAGAGUCCGGAAGAGGCGAGUGGAACUCCUGGUGUAGCGGUGGAAUGCGCAGAUAUCAGGAAGAACACCGACGGCGAAGGCAGCUCGCUGGGACGGUACUGACGCUGAGGCGCGAAAGCGUGGGGAGCGAACAGG
rnacentral:rRNA from 1 species